rnacentral:rRNA from 1 species
AGAGUUUGAUCCUGGCUCAGGACGAACGCUGGCGGCGUGCUUAACACAUGCAAGUCGAACGGGGUUUAGUCGAAAGAUUACUUUUAACUAAACCUAGUGGCGGACGGGUGAGUAACGCGUGGAUAACCUGCCCACUAGACUGGGAUAACGCCGGGAAACCGGUGCUAAUACCGGAUACGUUCACCGGAUUGCAUAAUCUGGUGAAGAAAGGUGCAAACCGCUAAUGGAUGGGUCCGCGUCCCAUUAGCUAGUUGGUAGGGUAACGGCCUACCAAGGCCACGAUGGGUAGCCGGCCUGAGAGGGCGACCGGCCACACUGGAACUGAGACACGGUCCAGACUCCUACGGGAGGCAGCAGUGGGGAAUCUUCCGCAAUGGGCGCAAGCCUGACGGAGCAACGCCGCGUGAGUGACGAAGGUCUUCGGAUUGUAAAACUCUGUCCAUAGGGAAGAACUAACUGACGGUACCUUUGGAGGAAGCCCCGGCUAACUACGUGCCAGCAGCCGCGGUAACACGUAGGGGGCGAGCGUUGUCCGGAAUUACUGGGCGUAAAGGGCGUGUAGGCGGCCAAGUAAGUCAGUCGUGAAACCCAGCGGCUUAACCGCUGGCUUGCGAUAGAAACUGCCUGGCUUGAGUGCAGUAGAGGGGAGUGGAAUUCCCAGUGUAGCGGUGAAAUGCGUAGAUAUUGGGAGGAACACCAGUGGCGAAAGCGGCUCCCUGGCCUGCAACUGACGCUGAGGCGCGAAAGCGUGGGUAGCAAACAGGAUUAGAUACCCUGGUAGUCCACGCCGUAAACGAUGGGUGCUAGGUGUUGGGGGUAUCGACCCCCCCAGUGCCGCAGUUAACGCAUUAAGCACCCCGCCUG